GGAGCCCGCCCCGCCCGGCGAGCUGGCGGAGCCAACGCCGCCUGGCACCCCGGAGGGUGGUGGGUAAGAGCAACGAGCGGGGAACGAGGCACCAGACCCCGGCUCCAAAGCCCCCCAGCCCUUCACAGCGGCGCAGCCCCGCUCCCGCCACGCCACGUACCGCCUGGGGAAACCAACCGCCGCGUACAGCCAGUGCAGAGCCUGAGCAGCGAGCGCCCCCGGCCCUGCGCCCCGCAGGUGUGCAUGUACCUCCGAGCACAGUCGUCAGAGAUUUUUGCUCUCCUGACGUCCAGAGAGUGCAAUCUACGCUCCUCUUCAGACUUAUGAAGCUUUGGGAAGAAGACUGGCAAGAAUAUGUCCUGGCUCACAGGAAACAACCUUGGGUAGGAAAGCUGGGUGCAGCUGCAGGUGGACUUUGUCCUUGAAAAACACCAUAUAGGGUGGCUCCAAGGUAAGCGCCCUAAUCUCAGAGACCCUACAAACAGACGUUAUUGCUACCAGAAAUGACACCUUCCAGGAGAGAAGAAGAGAACAGGAAGCCAAUGUCUCGAAUGGGGCACCCAUGAGCUGUGCCAGCACUAGAUUCAGGUCUCAAGGAGGGAUGGGGUCCUGGACAUGGGGAUAGAGUCACUCAGACCCUUCAAGAACUGGACUGUCAUGUCGUGAGUGAAGACCAAGCUGCCCUGGACUGGAGGGUGAAAGGCUGAUAUAGUGGCCAAGUGGACCUUAAUUGAUGAAAGGGAUAAGCCCUGGAGCUUAAGAUGUAGAAGGUAGUCCAGGAUUGAUUGCAGCGAGGCCUGCUCAGGCCUAAUACCCUGGUCCAAGGUGGGAAGGUCCUGCUGAGGUGAUCUGCUAGUAUGUUCCUGCUCCCCAGGAGGCCACAAGAUGAAUGGCAUGCUGCACACAGAAGUCCCAGAGCUGGAGAGCUUUCUGGCAAAGGGCUGUCAAUCUGGCUCCGCACUGCUUGUUGAUAUAAAACAUUGCAGCAGUGUUGUCCAUCAGGACUUGUACUACCUUGCCCUUCAAGUGGGACCAGAAAGCGCGACAGGCCAAACCAACUGCUCUGAGCUCCCUGAUAUUUAUGUGGAGGGAGCGACUGUCCCAUGAUCAGCGACCUUGCAUGCUGAGCUCAACCUCAAGCCCAGGCCCAAGGCAUCGGAAACCAGGGUCAGCAACGAGGCCAGGGCUGUGAAGGGAACCCCCUCCAACACUGAUUUGGGGUCCAACUACCAUUCCAGUGACAACCGGAUGUGGUCAAGCAUCCUGACUACCAGGUCUAGAUCAUGCUUGUUGCAGGUGUAGACCUGACGUCAGCUACGCUGGCGGCGGCCGGAGAUGGAGCCGGGCAUGACGGACCACACCCCUGUUAAGAUUGCCACAGCCUUGGCGAUGGGAGUGGCCAGAACUGCUUCCUCGCUGACUGAGGCGUAUGGAGACCCAGCAAGCGGAAGGUGGCCCAAGUGUCCUUUAGCCCAUACAGCCUCGCAUCUUUCCAACCCCAUCAAACAGGAGGUCCUACAUUGAGGACUGCAUCUCCUGGGACAAGCCCCCAGUCUCAGGCCAAGAACUGCACCUCAUGAUCACUGCUGAAGCGACCAGCCUGGCCGUCGAAUCAGCUACGUCCCACACCAUUUGGAGGGAGCACUGUGCCUCUGUAAUACCCUCCUAUAUAAGGGACCCAAAUUCUUGGGCUGAGUCCUGGGGUAGGGAGUCCCAUAAGUUAAAGUUUUAUCUCCCCAAAAGAACCUAGUGGUUUGCGACCCUGAACUGAAGGCUGGCCGUGGAAUAAAUUUUCCUUCAAAAAAUCCUCUUGACCUCAUUGCUGCUGGCGGUAACUCUGCCUUCAGAGCUGGGCUCCCAGCCAGCAGCCACGACUCUCAAGCUGCCCAGCUCUGAAGGCAGGGCCGCUGCCAGCAGCAGUACUGCAACCCCCCCUACAAUAACCUUGUGACCACCCCAC